rnacentral:rRNA from 1 species
GACGAACGCUGGCGGCGUGCCUAAUACAUGCAAGUCGAACGCAUUUUCUUUCACCGUAGCUUGCUACACCGAAAGAAAAUGAAUGGCGAACGGGUGAGUAACACGUGGGUAACCUGCCCAUCAGCGGGGGAUAACACUUGGAAACAGGUGCUAAUACCGCAUAAUUCCAUUUACCGCAUGGUAGAUGGGUGAAAGGCGCUUUUGCGUCACUGAUGGAUGGACCCGCGGUGCAUUAGCUAGUUGGUGGGGUAACGGCCUACCAAGGCUGCGAUGCAUAGCCGACCUGAGAGGGUGAUCGGCCACACUGGGACUGAGACACGGCCCAGACUCCUACGGGAGGCAGCAGUAGGGAAUCUUCGGCAAUGGACGCAAGUCUGACCGAGCAACGCCGCGUGAGUGAAGAAGGUUUUCGGAUCGUAAAACUCUGUUGUUAGAGAAGAACAAGGAUGAGAGUGGAAAGUUCAUCCCUUGACGGUAUCUAACCAGAAAGCCACGGCUAACUACGUG